AGGGGAAUAGCUGGGUCAAAUGGUGGUUCCAGUCCCAGCUUUCCAAGAAAUCUCCAUAAUGAUUUCCAAAUUGGCUGCACCAAUUUGCAGUCUCAACAGCAAU
rnacentral:pre_miRNA from 1 species